GACGAACGCUGGCGGCGUGCUUAACACAUGCAAGUCGAACGGAAAGGCCCUGCUUUUGUGGGGUGCUCGAGUGGCGAACGGGUGAGUAACACGUGAGUAACCUGCCCUUGACUUUGGGAUAACUUCAGGAAACUGGGGCUAAUACCGGAUAGGAGCUCCUGCUGCAUGGUGGGGGUUGGAAAGUUUCGGCGGUUGGGGAUGGACUCGCGGCUUAUCAGCUUGUUGGUGGGGUAGUGGCUUACCAAGGCUUUGACGGGUAGCCGGCCUGAGAGGGUGACCGGCCAAUUUGGGCCGGGGGACCGGCCCGGCCCCUCUCGGGGGGAAGGGGGGGGAAAUUUUGAACAAGGGGCGGAGGCCGAGUGCAGAACCCCCGGGUGGGGGAUGGCGGCCUUCGGGUUGAAACCCGCUUUCGCCUGUGACGAAGCGUGAGGGACGGUAAUUGGUAAAAAAGCCCCGGCAACCUCCGU
rnacentral:rRNA from 1 species